UACGUAGGGUGCGAGCGUUAAUCGGAAUUACUGGGCGUAAAGUGUGCGCAGGCGGCAGAGCAAGUCGAGUGUGAAAGCCCCGGGCUUAACUUGGGAAUUGCGCUCGAAACUACUUUGCUGGAGUGUGGCAGAGGGAGGUGGAAUUCCACGUGUAGCGGUGAAAUGCGUAGAGAUGUGGAGGAACACCAAUGGCGAAGGCAGCCUUCUGGGCCAACACUGACGCUCAUGCACGAAAGCGUGGGGAGCAAACAGG
rnacentral:rRNA from 1 species